rnacentral:lncRNA from 1 species
AACGGCUUGUCUCAGAUUUUCCUAUCAGCAGAUGGAAGCAAGUCCUGACAUAGAAUUAAGUGGAUGGGCUCUAAUAGGAGGGAAGAGAGAGAGAAGAGUCCAGAGUUGCAUCAUUGGUUGGGGAGAACGAGCUCAAGAGAAUGUCAGAGUGCAGCACUGCACACAAUCAAGGCCGAAGCCAGUACACCAUGGGGAGUCAGGAAAAGGAGGUUGGGAGCGUAGGCUGGUGAGAUGGAGAACAAAGGCUAAGGAGGCACUUGACCUUGUCCUAAUUUUGCCUACACUGCAUUUGUGGAAAGAUUUCUGAGAGAAUAAGACCCAGAUAAAUUAGUAGAAUGAGAGGAAUCUUAUCUUAAGAAAAAAGAAGUUAUAGUCAUUCUCACAUAAUAAAAUAUGAGGAGAGAAAAGAGGAUUAAAAGUGAUAUUGCAUUUCUCAAGAGGAAAAGAGAAAGGAAGCUGGUUAAAAUUAGUUUGGAUAAAGGAUCAUGUUAGAAAGUAGAAAAAAAUUAACAAGCAAACUAUAGGUCAAAUAGUUAUGUAGGUAAAUUUUGUGUUUAAGACACUCAGAACUAACAUUUUAUUCUUUUUUCCAAAUGAUAUGGCUUCUGUAAUGACUGGAGUUGUGAUUCACCAACAGUCCGUUCACAAGGGCCUCAGAUCCGUGAAUGUGGGAAUGGAACAGAAAGCUAUUUUGCAGGGCUGGCCCCGUGGCCGAGUGGUUAAGUUCGCGCGCUCCGCUGCAGGCGGCCCAGUGUUUCGUUGGUUUGAAUCCUGGGCGCGGACAUGACACAGCUCAU